UACGGGGGGAGCAAGCGUUGUUCGGAUUUACUGGGCGUAAAGGGCGCGUAGGCGGCGCAACAAGUCACUUGUGAAAUCUCCGGGCUUAACCCGGAGCGGUCAAGUGAUACUGUCGUGCUAGAGUGCGGAAGGGGCUACUGGAAUUCUCGGUGUAGCGGUGAAAUGCGUAGAUAUCGUAAGGAAGACCAGUGGCGAAGGCGAGUCUCUGGACAGCAACUGACGCUGAGGCACGAAGGCCAGGGGAGCAAACGGG
rnacentral:rRNA from 1 species